rnacentral:miRNA from 12 species
UAAUCUGCAUCCUGAGGUUUA